UACGUAGGGCGCAAGCGUUGUCCGGAAUUAUUGGGCGUAAAGAGCUCGUAGGCGGUUUGUCGCGUCUGCUGUGAAAACUCGAGGCUCAACCUCGGGCUUGCAGUGGGUACGGGCAGACUAGAGUGCGGUAGGGGUGACUGGAAUUCCUGGUGUAGCGGUGAAAUGCGCAGAUAUCAGGAGGAACACCGAUGGCGAAGGCAGGUCUCUGGGCAUUAACUGACGCUGAGGAGCGAAAGCAUGGGGAGCGAACAGG
rnacentral:rRNA from 1 species